UUAAUAAUUCAUCUUCAAUUCAAUUCAUAACUAUUUAUCAAUCACGGUCAAACCAUAAUCAGGUCUAAUCACUGCAAAACAGAUAAGGGGAUAAUUCAAAAAAACAUUGUGACUUGAAACUACUGAUCAUAACACUGUACAGUACAGGCAACAUAGUCACGAGAGUAUACCAAAUAAAACAUGUACUAAGAAAGUUGCACAAGGCCGAAAACAAUCAUCAAAAAAACUUAGCACAAGAUCAACAUAGCCGAGUUUCAAACUUCAAAUUUAUGCCCAUGCUGAAGAGCUCCUGGCACAAUAACUUGGCCCCAUAAGGUACAUUAACCCUGACUAUAUCAUCAACAGACUCACAAACUCGGCAGUAGGGACCCCUAAUCUUGCGGCCACCAGGCACUCCCCGUUGAAUCACAUUUGCCACAUUUUUGCAUUUCUGGCAAAUAUGCAUCUGUGAAGAAUCACUGAGAGUAAAAAGACGCUCAUGCAGGUUCGCAGAUGCACCAUGAGCUAUAAGGCAGUCCCGCUCCAUCUCACCAAACUUGAUACCACCAAAACGCUUUCGGUCUGCAACUGGCUGUCUAGUGAGUGGGUGCACAGGCCCAGUGUUACGAAAUUUUACUUUGUCUUCAGCCAUGUGGAUCAACCGCUGGUAGAAAGUUGGACCCAUAAAAAUGAGAGAACGAACCAUUUCACCAGUUCGACCGUUGUAAACUCUCUCAUUUCCCCAUCUUGAAAAUCCAGCCCUGUGAAGCUGGUCUGUGAUUGCUUCAACAGACAGCGUGGAGAAAGGGGUGGCAUAUCUCAAUGAUCCACCACAGGCAAUUCCCUUUCCCAAAGCAGCCUCUAAGAGUUGACCAGGAGUUUGUCGUGAAGGAAAUGCAUGUGGGUUUAUAACAAUAUCAGGAACUAUUCCCUGUAUGGUGAAGGGGAAGUUCUCUUGAGACUCCAAAAAGCCCAGAACACCUUUUUGUCCAUGCAUGCUAGAGAACUUGUCUCCAAGACAUGGAGAACGAACCUGCCUCAGAGACACCACAGCAAAAUUCUUCCCCUCAUCAUUAGAAGACAAUACAACUUUCUGGACCAUGCCCCUCUCAGUGUGCUUUAAUUUCAUACUAUGAUCAACCCCAGAUUCAGAACACCUCCCAAUAACAAUAUCACCACUUUGUAGAUUAGCUCCAAUGAAAGGAAAACCAUCAUCAUCAAGACUGUCAACACGUCCAAACUUACUCUGUAUCUUCCCAAAAUUCACAGGAUCAUCAAACUUUCGCCUCUUGUCUAAUAGUUCUUUAUUAUCAACAUCAGCCUUAUAACUUCUGAUAUGUUCAGAUCGAAACAUACCACGCUCUAAAGAAGAGCGAUUCAUUACCAAGGAGUCCUCUUGAUUGUAUCCUAGAUGAACAUUGACUGCCACAAUAGCAUUCUGACCAUUAUAUAACUCCGGUUUUGGCAGCAUUCCAUUAUGACCUCGUUGGUAUCCAGCUUUUCCAAGACAAUCAGAAGUCACAGUCCUAAAAAGUGGCCUCUGGGGAUAGUGCAAUUGAUGAGACAGGGUAUCCACUCUGAUGUUGGGAUUUGUUGUGGAAAAACCUAUAGCCUGCUGAGAAUGUUUUUGAGCCUGGUAUAGAACUCUUCUUGCAUGGUCAUGAUUGGCAAAGGGAAUGAUCCCACAACUUAAACCCAAUAAGAAGGACAUGUCAAGUUCACAGUGUGUGUACUUCAGAGAUUUCUUUCCAUCAGCUCCCGCUAGAAGAAAUUUAACUCCCCAGGCAGUGCUGCAAUCCUCUUCCUCUUCUGUUCCAACAAAUUCAACAAUCCCCUUGUCGAGAAGAGAAUGGAAGGUGUAAUUUCCCCCUUUAAAUGCUUUUAUCUUAGUUAAAUUCUUAACAACCAAAAGGGGACGUAAAAUCCUUCCAGCAUCAGAAUAUAUGCGCACUUCUCUUUGCUGUUCAUCUCUUUUGAUUUCCACCUGUUGAGGCAACCUCUUCCUCUGCCGUAAACGUCUAAGCUCAGAAACAAAUAAAUGAGAAUCUUCACAAACUCCAACCCAUUCCCCAUUCAGAAAUACUCUAAACUUCCUGUCCAGUUUAGUAUGGGUAUCAUCAACAAGUUUCUCCAUUCCACAAUCAAACAAUUUGUCAACUAGAGGUUCUGAUAUGUUUGUGCUAACAAGUCCAGUGGCAGCCAAAUUCUUUACAAGUCCACAGUUUUCACCAUCCGGAGUAGAAAGAAAGCAAACCCUACCCCAGUGAGAAGGGUGCGGGUAUCUAG
rnacentral:misc_RNA from 1 species